rnacentral:rRNA from 1 species
CCUACGGGAGGCAGCAGUGAGGAAUAUUGGUCAAUGGGCGUAAGCCUGAACCAGCCAAGUCGCGUGAGGGAUGAAGGUUCUAUGGAUUGUAAACCUCUUUUAUAAGGGAAUAAAGUGCGGGACGUGUCCCGUUUUGUAUGUACCUUAUGAAUAAGGAUCGGCUAACUCCGUGCCAGCAGCCGCGGUAAUACGGAGGAUCCGAGCGUUAUCCGGAUUUAUUGGGUUUAAAGGGUGCGUAGGCGGCUGUUUAAGUCAGCGGUGAAAGUCUGUGGCUCAACCAUAGAAUUGCCGUUGAAACUGGGAGGCUUGAGUAUGUUUGAGGCAGGCGGAAUGCGUGGUGUAGCGGUGAAAUGCUUAGAUAUCACGCAGAACCCCGAUUGCGAAGGCAGCCUGCCAAGCCAUGACUGACGCUGAUGCACGAAAGCGUGGGGAUCAAACAGGAUUAGAUACCCGGGUAGUC